rnacentral:lncRNA from 1 species
CGAUAGCGGUGAUUUUGCAGAGUCCUGAGACAGCACAAGGUUUCACACGAUGAACAGAGGUAAUCUGCCACUACCAUCAGAUUCAUUGAUUGCUGACCUACUGGACAUUGCCACUGAAGAGGAUUGA